rnacentral:lncRNA from 1 species
GUCCCUAAGGAGGAAACACUGCAGGAACUUCCUGAAAGGAGACAGCAGGCUGUUGCUGAGGUGAGCUUGCCUGUUUUCCCCUGAGGAACACAUGUGCUUUCUUAGAUAUUUCCAAUCACUUCUGUUGUAAAUGUGACAAUGUACGUUUUAGAUGAUAUGGUUACUACCCUGGUGGGGAGACUGGUGAGUGGCUGCCUCUUGCCAGCUGUCACCUUGGUCAGGGGGACAUUUCCCACGGGCAGUGCCAAACCUGGUAAGAAACAGUGUCAAAGGAUCUUUUUCCUCAGCAGCAAUUUUUCCUGCUUGGUGAAGAAAUUUGUAGUCGCCACCCCAGUGGUCUUGGAAGACACAUCUCCAGGAAAAACAACUUCUCACAGGCAUCCUAUUCAUUUGCUUUCGGGGACCUUUGACUCAACCACUGUGUCCCAUCUUCUAUCCUUGAGUCACCAAGAGAACUGAAGAGUGGUGCAAAUAACGUAUAUCAUGAUCUCACCCCGAUGGUGUUUUCUUUCCUAACAUUCAGGUUGCCGCAGGAGUACAGGAGACAGGUAUGUAUCCUGGAAAAAAAUUUCCUGCUGAGGAAAAUGUUUAGAUGGUGAUGUAGGUGAGGAAUUCUUGUUGUCUUCAGUCUGGAGAGUUACAUUGAUUCCAGAGUCCUGAGAGGACUUAGUCUAAGGUGGGGGGGGGGAAGACCGAUGUCCCAGGUGAAAAACUAUGUCCACGUUUCUACAUUAUGAGAAAGAUAAUGUAUUCUUUGAGUGUGGAGUGAUUUUGUGUGCAUGAGUCUUGGGGUUGUUCUCUAUGGUCUGUGUAGCAUGACUGUUAGCGUGUGUGUGUGUGUUUCAGAGAGUCAGAAACAAGACAGACACAUUGAGAGAGAGAGAGAGAGGAGAGACAGCAAGAGAUGUGUUUCCCCAGGAGCUAUGUGCCACUGACACUGCACAAUGGCCAAUGUCUACAUUCUCCAAACACUCCUCAUACUGCACACUUCAAGGAAUACAGCUGAGCGUGGCUCAGCAGUAACACUCAGUCCAUG